AUACGGAAGGUCCGGGCGUUAUCCGGAUUUAUUGGGUUUAAAGGGAGCGCAGGCGGAGAUGCAAGCGUGACGUCAAAUUUCGGGGCUCAACCCCGUCUCGCGUCGCGAACUGCGUCCCUUGGUUGCGGGAAGGGGAGGCGGAACUCGUGGGGUAUCGGGUAAAUGCAUAGAUAUCACGAAGAACUCCGGUCGCGAAGGCAGCUUUCGGGCCCGUCAACGACGCUCAUGCUCGAAGGUGCGGGUAUAAAACAGGAUUAGAUACCCUGGUAGUCCGCACAGUAAACGAUGGACACCCGCGGUUUGGCCUGUAUGGCUGAGCCGCCAAGCGAAAGCGAUAAGCGCCCCGCCUGGGGAGUACGGCCGCAAGGCUAAAACUCAAAGGAAUUGACGGGG
rnacentral:rRNA from 1 species